GACGAACGCUGGCGGCGUGCUUAACACAUGCCAGUCGAACGGAAAGGCCCUGCUUGCAGGGUACUCGAGUGGCGAACGGGUGAGUAACACGUGGGUGAUCUGCCCUGCACUUCGGGAUAAGCCUGGGAAACUGGGUCUAAUACCGGAUAGGAGCCAUUUUUAGUGUGAUGGUUGGAAAGUUUUUUUCGGUGUAGGAUGAGCUCGCGGCCUAUCAGCUUGUUGGUGGGGUAAUGGCCUACCAAGGCGGCGACGGGUAGCCGGCCUGAGAGGGUGGACGGCCACAUUGGGACUGAGAGACGGCCCAGACUCCUACGGGAGGCAGCAGUGGGGAAGAUUGCACAAUGGGCGCAAGCCUGAUGCAGCGACGCCGCGUGGGGGAUGACGGCCUUCGGGUUGUAAACUCCUUUCGCUAGGGACGAAGCUUUUUGUGACGGUACCUAGAUAAGAAGCACCGGCUAACUACGUG
rnacentral:rRNA from 1 species